UACGUAGGCAGCGAGCGUUGUUCGGAGUUACUGGGCGUAAAGGGUGUGUAGGCGGUUCUCUAAGUUUGGUGUGAAAUCUCCCGCUCAACCGGGAGGGUGCGCCGAAAACUGGAGGGCUAGAGUGCGGGAAGGGGAGAGUGGAAUUCCUGGUGUAAGCGGUGAAAUGCGUAGAUAUCGAAGAGGAACACCUGAGGUGAAGACGGGUUGCUGGGCCGACACUGACGCUGAGUGCGCGAAAGCCAGGGGAGCAAACGGG
rnacentral:rRNA from 1 species